rnacentral:rRNA from 1 species
GGGUUGUGAGGUUAAGUGACUAAGCGUACACGGUGGAUGCCUAGGCAGUCAGAGGCGAUGAAGGGCGUGCUAAUCUGCGAAAAGCGUCGGUAAGGUGAUAUGAACCGUUACAACCGGCGAUACCCGAAUGGGGAAACCCAGUGUGUUUCGACACACUAUCAUGUCAUGAAUACAUAGUGGCAUGAGGCGAACCGGGGGAACUGAAACAUCUAAGUACCCCGAGGAAAAGAAAUCAACCGAGAUUCCCCCAGUAGCGGCGAGCGAACGGGGAGGAGCCCAGAACCUGAAUCGGCUUGUGUGUUAGUGGAAGCGUCUGGAAAGUCGCGCAGCAAAGGGUGAUAGCCCCGUACACUAAAAUGCACAGGUCGUGAGUUCGAUGAGUAGGGCGGGACACGUGACAUCCUGUCUGAAUAUGGGGGGACCAUCCUCCAAGGCUAAAUACUCCUGACUGACCGAUAGUGAACCAGUACCGUGAGGGAAAGGCGAAAAGAACCCCGGCGAGGGGAGUGAAAUAGAACCUGAAACCGUGUACGUACAAGCAGUGGGAGCACCUUCGUGGUGUGACUGCGUACCUUUUGUAUAAUGGGUCAGCGACUUAUAUUUUGUAGCAAGGUUAACCGUAUAGGGGAGCCGUAGGGAAACCGAGUCUUAACUGGGCGAAUAGUUGCAAGGUAUAGACCCGAAACCCGGUGAUCUAGCCAUGGGCAGGUUGAAGGUUGGGUAACACUAACUGGAGGACCGAACCGACUAAUGUUGAAAAAUUAGCGGAUGACUUGUGGCUGGGGGUGAAAGGCCAAUCAAACCGGGAGAUAGCUGGUUCUCCCCGAAAGCUAUUUAGGUAGCGCCUCGUGAACUCAUCUUCGGGGGUAGAGCACUGUUUCGGCUAGGGGGCCAUCCCGGCUUACCAAACCGAUGCAAACUCCGAAUACCGAAGAAUGUUAUCACGGGAGACACACGGCGGGUGCUAACGUCCGUCGUGAAGAGGGAAACAACCCAGACCGCCAGCUAAGGUCCCAAAGUCAUGGUUAAGUGGGAAACGAUGUGGGAAGGCAUAGACAGCCAGGAUGUUGGCUUAGAAGCAGCCAUCAUUUAAAGAAAGCGUAAUAGCUCACUGGUCGAGUCGGCCUGCGCGGAAGAUGUAACGGGGCUAAACCAUGCACCGAAGCUGCGGCAGCGACGCUUAGGCGUUGUUGGGUAGGGGAGCGUUCUGUAAGCCGUUGAAGGUGGCCUGUGAGGGUUGCUGGAGGUAUCAGAAGUGCGAAUGCUGACAUAAGUAACGAUAAAGCGGGUGAAAAGCCCGCUCGCCGGAAGACCAAGGGUUCCUGUCCAACGUUAAUCGGGGCAGGGUGAGUCGACCCCUAAGGCGAGGCUGAAAAGCGUAGUCGAUGGGAAACAGGUUAAUAUUCCUGUACUUGGUGUUACUGCGAAGGGGGGACGGAGAAGGCUAGGCUAGCCGGGCGACGGUUGUCCCGGUUUAAGCGUGUAGGGGGUGUGACCUGGUAAAUCCGGUUACAUACUAACCCUGAGGCGUGAUGACGAUGCACUACGGUGCAGAAGUAGUUGAUGCCCUGCUUCCAGGAAAAGCCUCUAAGCUCCAGGUAACAUUGAAUCGUACCCCAAACCGACACAGGUGGUCAGGUAGAGAAUACCAAGGCGCUUGAGAGAACUCGGGUGAAGGAACUAGGCAAAAUGGUGCCGUAACUUCGGGAGAAGGCACGCUGGCAUGUAGGUGAAGUCCUUCGCGGAUGGAGCUGAAGCCAGUCGAAGAUACCAGCUGGCUGCAACUGUUUAAUAAAAACACAGCACUGUGCAAACACGAAAGUGGACGUAUACGGUGUGACGCCUGCCCGGUGCUGGAAGGUUAAUUGAUGGGGUCAGCCGCAAGGCGAAGCUCUUGAUCGAAGCCCCAGUAAACGGCGGCCGUAACUAUAACGGUCCUAAGGUAGCGAAAUUCCUUGUCGGGUAAGUUCCGACCUGCACGAAUGGCGUAAUGAUGGCCAGGCUGUCUCCACCCGAGACUCAGUGAAAUUGAACUCGCUGUGAAGAUGCAGUGUACCCGCGGCAAGACGGAAAGACCCCGUGAACCUUUACUAUAGCUUGACACUGAACAUUGAGCCUUGAUGUGUAGGAUAGGUGGGAGGCUUUGAAGCGUGGACGCCAGUCUGCGUGGAGCCAUCCUUGAAAUACCACCCUUUAAUGUUUGAUGUUCUAACUCGGCCCCAUAAUCUGGGGUGAGGACAGUGUCUGGUGGGUAGUUUGACUGGGGCGGUCUCCUCCCAAAGAGUAACGGAGGAGCACGAAGGUUAGCUAAUCACGGUCGGACAUCGUGAGGUUAGUGCAAAGGCAUAAGCUAGCUUGACUGCGAGAGUGACGGCUCGAGCAGGUACGAAAGUAGGUCUUAGUGAUCCGGUGGUUCUGAAUGGAAGGGCCAUCGCUCAACGGAUAAAAGGUACUCCGGGGAUAACAGGCUGAUACCGCCCAAGAGUUCAUAUCGACGGCGGUGUUUGGCACCUCGAUGUCGGCUCAUCACAUCCUGGGGCUGAAGUAGGUCCCAAGGGUAUGGCUGUUCGCCAUUUAAAGUGGUACGCGAGCUGGGUUUAGAACGUCGUGAGACAGUUCGGUCCCUAUCUGCCGUGGGCGUUGGAAGAUUGAGAGGGGUUGCUCCUAGUACGAGAGGACCGGAGUGAACGCACCACUGGUGUUCGGGUUGUCAUGCCAAUGGCAUUGCCCGGUAGCUAAGUGCGGAAAAGAUAAGCGCUGAAAGCAUCUAAGCGCGAAACUUGCCUCAAGAUGAGUCUUCCCUGGGCCUUUAAGGCCCCUGAAGGAACGUUUAAGACUAAGACGUUGAUAGGCUGGGUGUGUAAGUGCAGCGAUGCAUUGAGCUAACCAGUACUAAUGAUCCGUGAGGCUUAACCUUACAACACCGAAGGUGUUU